GGCGACGAUCAGUAGCUGGUCUGAGAGGAUGAUCAGCCACAUUGGGACUGAGACACGGCCCAAACUCCUACGGGAGGCAGCAGUGGGGAAUCUUGCGCAAUGGGCGAAAGCCUGACGCAGCCAUGCCGCGUGAAUGAUGAAGGUCUUAGGAUUGUAAAAUUCUUUCACCGGGGACGAUAAUGACGGUACCCGGAGAAGAAGCCCCGGCUAACUUCGUGCCAGCAGCCGCGGUAAUACGAAGGGGGCUAGCGUUGCUCGGAAUUACUGGGCGUAAAGGGAGCGUAGGCGGACAUUUAAGUCAGGGGUGAAAUCCCGGGGCUCAACCUCGGAAUUGCCUUUGAUACUGGGUGUCUUGAGUAUGAGAGAGGUGUGUGGAACUCCGAGUGUAGAGGUGA
rnacentral:rRNA from 2 species